CCCGGCGGCUGCCUAAUNAUGCAAGUCGAGCGGACAGAUGGGAGCUUGCUCCCUGAUGUCAGCGGCGGACGGGUGAGUAACACGUGGGUAACCUGCCUGUAAGACUGGGAUAACUCCGGGAAACCGGGGCUAAUACCGGAUGCUUGAUUGAACCGCAUGGUUCAAUUAUAAAAGGUGGCUUUUACCUACCCCUUACAAAUGGACCCGCGGCGCAUUACCUAUUUGGGGAGGUAACGGUUCACCAAGGCAACAAUGCGUACCCAACCUGAAAGGGGGAUCGGCCACCCUGGAACUGAAACCCGGCCCAAACUCCUACGGAAGGCACCAUAAGGAAAUCUUCCCCAUGGAACAAAAGUCUGACGAACCACCCCCCCGGGAUUGAUGAAGGUUUUCGAAUCGAAAAACUCUGUUGUUAGGAAAAAACAAUUACCGUUCAAAUAGGGCGGAACCUUGACGGUACCUACCCAAAAACCCCCGGUUAACUACUUGCCACCCCCCGCGGGUAANCAAA
rnacentral:rRNA from 1 species